AUCCAUGUGAAAAAAGAUCCCAACCCUAUACGUUGACGUUUAGAAUUUAUUCAUUGCACUUACUGAAAUGAAAAGCUUGAAUGACUAUACUGAAGAAUUUCUUUCUAUUGUAGAUGACUUUGAGAGAGAAAAGAAAAAUGGAGAGAUGCUGCUGAAUUCUCUUGAGAGAGACGAUGGAGAUGGAGAUCAAGACAAACAAGAAGAGGAAGCAGAGGAAGAGAAAGACAAGGACACAAAUAUUUUACAUUGUCGGCCCAAAAUUAGCCUACAUCCACGAAGAGGAGCUGAUAUUAGUCUUGGAGAUGAUCUUGAAGAUCUACAGAUGAGUCACUUUGCUAGUUCUACUUAUCUUUUGAUUUGUAUAGUACAUAUAAAAUCUAGCUACAAGUGUAUUUAUAGUUUUAUUUGUGUACAACGGUCCCAACAAACUUUGUAGAAGUUCAUUCAAUCAUUUUUUUUUUAACAAUCUUCACCUUGAAAUUAACUUCAAGGAGUUUCUUCCAGCUACCCUUUUUGCUAACCCUUUUCUUCUUCAACCUUUGUCUCUCAACUCAAACUCUAUAAUAUCGAGGCAUUUCUGAAGUUUGAGCUGGGUGACAGUCUUGGAUAACAUGUUGGAGGCAUAAUCUGAGGCUCUUCUUUCUCGGACAAAAUUAGCUCAAUGUGGCCAGGAGAAGACAUGUAAAAUCAGCUCAAUGUGGCAAGGAGAAGACAUGUAAGCUGCCAACCAGUCAGAAAAGAAUAUAGAAUUGAAGGUCAGGCAAUAGGUUCAAUUUCCUAUUUUUUUCAACUUUCUAAUGAUGAUUGCUCCUGGGGCUGUUUAUUGGCCUUUCAGGAGUAGGGCUCCUGUCAAUUACAAAUGUAGAAGUUUGUGAAGCAACUGCUGGUAUAUAAACUCAGAACAAUACAACUGAUGUUAAAGGAACAAACAGUAAGAAAGAAACAGAGAUAAAAGGAAAUAAGAAUGAAGUCGAAUCCUGGAGAAGUUAGAGCCAUCUGAAAUGGGAUGUUGAUUAGCAGAUCUCUCAACUCCCAGAACUCCUGAAGGCAAAUUAUUAUCAAUGUCCAGUAACACACGGAAAGAAUAUUACAGAGGAAAGCAGAAGGCUGAAGCCCAACUAAACACGACACAAACCAUUUAGCCUUGCACUUUGAACGCUUUCCUAGUCGGCCACUUUUCUCUCUUUUUCGGCCUUUUCUUUUCCGUCCACGGUGAGGCUUUGCUGUCUUCUUGAAUCUCCUCUUCCUGUACUUAGUAGAAACCAAAUUCGUUCAGAUCUGGCGAAUUGAUUAUCUGCGAACCUUGUCCAGAUCUGGUGUAUCAAACCAAACUGCAACAACAGAGGGCAAGAUGUAUUAAACAGAGAAAUUAGAAAAAAAAAAAAAAAGGAAAAAAAAAACAGAAAGAAAAAACAAAAAUCUGCAAACCUUGUCCAGAUCUAGUGAUCGUUCGACGACGGAACAAACGACGAACGGCGACUGAAGGAAUGACAAACGACGACGGCGGCAGAUAUGGCAAUCGUCGGCAGCAAAUCUGGAGACACGCGAACGACGACGAAAUGAACAAUAGAUCUGACGGAGACACGCGAACGACGACGAAAUGAGCAGCAGAUCCGGUGGAAUGACCAACAAAUCCACUUUGGAAGAUAGAGUGAGAAACGAAAUGAGCAGUAGACAUGGGUUUGGAAGAGAGGAGUGAGAAAGAAUAGGGUAUGAAGAGGAAAGUGUGAGAAUGAGAGGAAAAAUAAAAUAGAGGGAGAGUGAAGAGGGAAAUGAAAAAAAUUGGAGGAAAAUAGAAAGUUGGAGGAAAAAGUGAAGUGGGUCUUUAAUUUCGGUUUGAAACCGACAUUAAAGAUACCCUACAAUGUCGGUUUUAAACCGACAUUAAAGAUCUGCUUUUUAAAAAAAAAAACAAAAAACAAAACCGACAUCAUACAUCCGAUUUCACUUUUUUCAACCGACAUUAAAGCCCAAAAUUCUUGUAGUGAUGUGUUUUGUUCGAUUAUGAUAUUGUGAGUGCUUAGAUAGAUGUAUAGUACUCUGAUUAUCACAUAAUAUUUUUACUGUAUCUUGCUUAAUACCAAAAUCACGUAGAAGUCCUUUUAGCCAUAACCCCUCCUUUACUGCCUCUGAAAGGGCAAUAAAUUUAGCUUCAGUAGUGGAAAGGGCUACUACUAACUGUAAUGUAGCCUUCCAACUUAGUACACACCGUCUAACAUAGGAAGAUAUAACCUAAUAAGGAUUGCCUUUUAUCUAAUUCUCCAGUGUAGUCAGAGUCAACAUACCCCAUUCUGGUCCAUUGCCUGAAGCUUGUUGAUACAGUAGUUUGGCACUUAAAGUGCCCUUAAGAUACUUCAUAAUCCACUUUGUUGCCUCCCAAUGCCUCUUAACCAAAUUAGCCAUGUACCUACUUAUUAGACUUGUAGCAUAAGCAAUAUCUAGUCUUGUAGAAAUCAUUAGGUACAUUAGAGUUCCCACAACGUGAGAAUAGGGAAUAGUUGACAUUAUCUUCAAAUGUUCAAUGUCUGACUCUUUUGGUGAGUUUUCUGCUGAAAGUUUGAAACAAUGUGUGAUAGAAGUACUGACUGCUUUAGCUUCUAUCAUGUGAUAUUUCUUGAUUAAUUUUUCACAAUAUUGUGUCUGAUCAAUGCUAAGUUUUUAUGAUUUUCUAUCUCUGCUAAUAUCAAUGCCAAAAAAUUUGUUUGCAUUACCCAUAUCUUUCAUUUCAAGUUCUGAUUUCAGUAGGUCUUUAACUUGAUUUAAGUCUUUCAUAAUUGUUCCUGAUAGCAACAUAACAUCUACAUAGAGGAGUAGAUAGAUAGGAUGUGUAUAGGUGUUAGUGUUUAUAUAAACACAAUUAUCAUAAGAACUCUUAGUAAAUCCAUUCUUCUGUAUAAAAUCAUUGAAUCUUUUGUUCCAAUACCUAGGAGAUUGUUUAAGGCCAUAAAUAGAUCUUUUAAGUAAACAGUAAUGAUCUUUUCUCUCUCUUACUUCAUAGCCUUUUGGUUGACUCAUAUAAAUGAAUUCAUCUAAGAAGCCAUGUAGAAAGGUUGUUUUGACAUCAAGUUGCUCUAGCUCUAGGUCUUGUUGAGCCACAAUGGACAAUAUAAGUUUGAUAGAUGUUUGUUUGACCACAAGGGAAAAAUCUCAUUGUAGUCAACACCUUGUCUUUGAGUGAAUCCCUUUGCAACCAGCCUAGCUUUAUAUCUAGGUCAUUAACCAUUAGGGACACCUUACUUGUACUUAUAAACCCAUUUGGAUGCAAUUGGUUUGCACCCUUUAGGUAAGAGAACCAACUCCCAAGUGUCAUUCUUUAUAAGAGAUUCAACCUCUUCAUUCAUUGCCUCUAUCCAUAUUUUAGCUUUAGUGCUUACUGCCUCUCCAAAGGUAAAGCGUUCAAGUUCAUUGUUGAGGCCUAAAGCAUUUAAAGCUAAAUUGAUAUAAUCAUCAUAUCUUGAGGGGGGCAUUAUAGUUCUUCUUUACCUAUCCUUGCUAGGCUAUAACCCCUUAGGUCUGGUUCCUCUUGCUCUAGAUCAGAAACAACAUUUUCUACAUCUUCUUCAUGAUGAGGUAGUUGAUCAAUUUGUGAUUCUGAGCUUGAGGGAUCAGUGGUAGGAUUUAGGAGCUGCUCCACCUCAAUUGUAUCAAACUUUCCUUGAGGUGCUGAAACAUUUGAAUUAGGAUUUUGCAUAAACAUUUCAGUCUCCCUAAAGAUGACAUCUCUGCUUGUUAUACACCUUUUUUCUGUAAGAUGCCACAAUCUAAAGCCUUUCACACCUUCAGCAAAACCUAAAAACAUAUAUUUCACUGAUCGGGUAACUAACUUCCCCUUGUUCUUGUUUACAAAACCUGUGCAACCAAACACCCUUAGGUUGUUUAGAUUAGAAGAAUGUUUAGUCCACCUUGCUUAUGAGGGCAUGAGGCAUGAGGCAUGAGGGUGUCUAUUGAGAGUAUAGACAGUAUAAUAUGUUGCCUCAGCCCAAAACUUCUCAAGAAGGAUGACAUUUGAUAAGAGACUCCUCACUCUCUCCAUGAUUGUUCAGUUUAAUUUCUCUGCCACCUCAUUUUGCUGGGGUGUGUACCUUACAGUCUUGUGUCUAAUAAUCCCCUGUUGCCUACAAAAGACAUUAAACUCUUCUGCACAGAACUCAAGCCCAUUAUCAGUCCUAAGACACUUUAUUUGGCUAUUAGUUUGUUUUUUAACCAUAGUCUUCCAUUCUUUGAACUUUUCAAACACCAAAUCCUUAGUUUUAAGGAAAAAUAUCCAGUAUUUCCUAGAGUAAUCAUCAACAAAGGUUAAGAAAUACCUGACUCCACUCAGGGAUUGGAAAGGUGAAGGGCCCCAAAGGUCCGAAUGCACAUAAUCAAGGAUGGCCUUGGUUGUAUGUUGAGCCUUAACAAAACUCUUCCUUGUAGCUUUACCUAUCGCACAAUGCUCACAGAAGGAUAGGGUUUGAUGAAUUUCUUUAGGUAGAAUUCCUUGAUUGGCAAGAGCUUGUAGACCUUUGGCACUAAUGUGAGAAAAUCUUUUGUGCCAAAGAUAUCCUUCAGUAGGCUCUUUAGAAGUCACAACUAAGGCUGAAUGCACUUUCUAAACUCCUUGAACAACAUAGAUCUCAUUUAUUUUAAUCCCUCUGAAAAUAGGCUUACUAUUCUUCAAUACUUCACAGUAGCCUUCCUUUGCUCUGUUUAGCAACCAAUUGAAUUAAGAAUGCCUAGUGAAAUCAAGUUCUUCUUCAACUUAGGUACAUGUCUAAAAUUUCUUAGUAAUUUGACUGACCCAUCUUCAAGCUUGAGUGAAACAAAACCAAUACCAAUCAUUGGACAUGAGUUAUUAUUACCCAUGUAUACUGAGCCUCCAUCCAGAUCUUUAUAUGUGCUGAAUCAGUCCUUGUGAGGUGUCAUAUGAAAAGAACACCCUGAGUCUAGAACCCAAUCUAGGUUCUUAUCUUCUGCCUUUUGAUUUGAUGUAGCUCAGGCAUCUGGAUAGAAAAUAGAGUCCUUUCUGACUAAGGCUUCUCUUGACUGACUUGGCUGGUUUUUCUGUUGAGGCUGUGAUUGUGAUUGUUUGUUCGUCUGUUUAUUUCUCCAUUUCAAGGUUCUACAAUCCUUGAUUAGAUGGCCCAACUUUUUACAAUAUUUGUAUCUAACCUUGGAUUUUUCUUUACCUUCUUCUAUAGAAUUAUGAUUGCCUUUUUAUUUGUUGCUUUGUUUAGACUUCCCCUUAAUAAAUAAACCCUCAGCACUGGGUUUCUCUUCUUUCCUGGUUAGAAGCUCCAUUUCUCUAAUUUUUAGGGCUGAAAUUAUUAUAUCGAUUGAUAAAGAGUCUCUACCAUACUUUAAUGUUGUCUCAACAUCUUUGUAAGAAUCUGCAAGUGAGUUAAGAAGCACAAAGGCUUCAUUGACAACCCCAAUCUCUUCACCUUGAGUCUUAAAUUCUAUUGUGAUUCUCUUGAAGUCGUCAAGAUUUUCAGUUAAUGAUUUUGAAGAGCUCAUAUUGAAGGUGAAAAACCUUUCUCUCAAGAAGUGUUUGUUCGAAAAGUUCUUUGUCUCAUACAACUCAUUCAAUUUAGUCCACAUCUUGAAGGUUGUUUCUUGGUCAAUUACUUGUCUUAGUACACUGUCUAACAGGUUUGGUACAAGAGUACCGUGAGCAAUUAGCUUCAUAUUCUCCAUUUCUUCUUCAGUUGCUGUGAUAGGUAGUUUAGUUGGGUCUUCAAGAACCUUGUGUACUCUUUGUUGCCCUAAAAUCGCUUUAAUUUUGGCUUUCCACAAGCCAAAAUCUCCUUUUCCAUCAAAUUGUUCAAUAUCAUAUCUUGCUACUUCCCUUUUUUGACUUCUUUUGACAUCAAAAGCUCCAAGAUUUACUUUCUUUUAGAUCUUGACCAAUCUUGAAGUUUUCUUGCAGGUUCUGAUACUACUUUCUUGGGCCUUGGAAGCUGAAGAUAAACGAGAUUUGCGCUUACUAAAUGAAUCUGAGGCCCGAGUAAAAGUAGAAAACCAUUUGAUCCUUGAGAAAAACCAGCUGAAAACAAAACAAUGUGAAAAAAGAUCCCAGCCCUACAUGUUGACGAUCAGAAUUUAUUCAUUGCACUUACUGAAAUGAAAAGCUUGAAUGAUUAUACUAGAGAAUUUCUUUCAAUUGCAGAUGACUUCGAGAGAGAAAAGAAAAAUGGAGAGAUGCUGUCAAAUUCUCUUAAGAAAGACGAUGGAGAUGGAGAUCAAGACAAACAAAAAGAUGAAGUAGAGAAAGAGAAAAGCAAGGGCACAAAGAUCUUUUGAUUUACAGAUGAGUCACUUAACUAGUUCUACUUUUCUUUUGAUUUGUACGGUAGAUAUAAAAUCUAACUACAAGUGUAUUUCUAGUUUUUUUUGUGUACAACGGUUACAACAAACUUUAUAGAUGUUGAUUUCAUCAUUUCCAUAAAUUUCAAUGAACGGGAUCCACAUGCUGAAUCCUUCUUUUUCCAAGACUCGGCUGCCAGAACUCCCAUACACGCAACUAUUAAUUGCAGUCGUCAACAGUUGAAUCACUUUCUUGUUGAGAAGCUAAGAAAAGGAAAAAUGAUUAGUUAUGCAACAGAAGGUGACAUGGAGACUAAAAGACAAAGGGGCACUCAAAAGAAAAAUUCAAGAAGAGAUCCCAAAAGCCAGAAAAAGCCAUGGCUGCCAUGGAUCUCCCUUCCCUCUGUCGUCGACUAGAUUUGCUCGCCCUACCGUGCCGUCAAGUAAAUCUACUCAACCUAUGACUGUGAUUCGCCUUACACCAUUCGUGCCAUCGAUUUAUCCCAAGUCGUUCAUGUCACCUCGUGUCGAGCCAUCAAUUCGCCCCACAUCGUCAUCUACCACCUUCAACUCACAUCAUCGAAUGGAGAAAAGAGAGGAAGGGGGAAGGAGAAAAAAGAGGGAAGAGGAAGAAAUGAGUGUGAAUUAUGGGGGAAAGAAUAUAUGAAAUAUAUUAUUAGGGGAGAGAGAACAUAUGCAUGGAAGAGAGAUAAUAUGCAUGGGAAAGAGAGUAUAUAUGUGGGAGAGAGAAUAUGCAUGAAGGAGAGAGAAUAUGCAUGGGGAAAGAGAAAUACAUAUAUUAAUUUAAUUAAUUAUAUCAUAUAUAAUUAAUUUCCUCAAUUAAUUCGA